rnacentral:rRNA from 1 species
AAUCAACAAAGAGGAGCGAGACUGUGAAGUGGAGCAAACCCCAAAAAUAACGUCCCAGUUCGGAUUGUAGUCUGCAACCCGACUACAUGAAGCUGGAAUCGCUAGUAAUCGCGAAUCAGCAUGUCGCGGUGAAUACGUUCCCGGGUCUUGUACACACCGCCCGUCACACCAUGGGAGUUGGUAACGCCCGAAGUCAGUGACCUAACCGCAAGGGAGGAGCUGCCGAAGGUGGGGCCAGUAACUGGGGUGAAGUCGUAACAAGGUACC